rnacentral:rRNA from 1 species
AACGUAGGAGACAAACGUUAUCCGGAGUUAUUGGGCGUAAAGAGCGUGUAGGCGGCCAGGUAGGUCCGGUGUGAAAACUCGAGGCUUAACCUCGAGAUGUCAUCGGAAACCAUCUGGCUAGAGUCCGGAAGAGGAAAGUGGAAUUCCUGGUGUAGCGGUGAAAUGCGCAGAUAUCAGGAAGAACACCAAUGGCGAAAGCAGCUUUCUGGGACGGUACUGACGCUGAGACGCGAAAGCGUGGGGAGCGAACAGG